rnacentral:tRNA from 1 species
GCGCUCAUGGCCUAAUGGAUAAGGAAUCAAGCGAUUGUGGGUUCGAGUCCCACUGGGCGUG